CCUACGGGAGGCAGCAGUGGGGAAUCUUGCACAAUGGGCGAAAGCCUGAUGCAGCAACGCCGCGUGCGGGAUGAAGGCCUUAGGGUUGUAAACCGCUUUCAGCAGGAACGAAACUGACGGUACCUGCAGAAGAAGGUGCGGCCAACUACGUGCCAGCAGCCGCGGUAAU
rnacentral:rRNA from 1 species